GACGUAGGGCGCAAGCGUUGUCCGGAAUUAUUGGGCGUAAAGAGCUCGUAGGCGGUCUGUUGCGUUCCGCUGUGAAAACUCGGGGCUUAACCCCGAGCCUGCAGUGGAUACGGGCAGACUAGAGGUAGGUAGGGGAGAAUGGAAUUCCCGGUGUAGCGGUGAAAUGCGCAGAUAUCGGGAGGAACACCAAUGGCGAAGGCAGCUCGCUGGAACGGUACUGACGCUGAGGCGCGAAAGCGUGGGGAGCAACAGGG
rnacentral:rRNA from 1 species